rnacentral:piRNA from 1 species
UGGCCGAUGGGAAGCAGGACUAGAUUC